CCUGACUCCCUGCUGUAUCUUCUCCUGCUUGCUGUUGCAGAAGAUAUAUAAGUAUGUCUCUUAAACAAAGCAGGGUUUUUGUUUACUCAAAGCUGUAGAGAGCUAGAAGGAGAAUUACCCUCAAAUUUACAAUGAAAAAAAAAAUUCGGUAUAUCCCUGGCCUGGGCACUUCUGCUUGCUGCGAGCAUGGCCAAAGGGAAAAAAAAAAAUCACAUUAAAUAUGAGUGGUCCAAAUACAGUAGUUAAAAGAUAGAGAUUGUCAGAUUGGAUUUAAAACAAAAGCGAGACCAAACUAUACACUGUCUACAAGAAACUCACUUUACAUAUAAAGAUGAAGCGGUUGGAGAAAAGAUACACUGUGCAAACACAGAGGGAAGCUGGAGCCGCUGGAUGAAUUUUGAACAAAACAGACCCUACAAUAAGAACUACGCUCGGGAUAAAGAGGGACACUAAGUGAUUAUAAAGGCCUCAGUUCUCCAAGAAGUAAUUACCCUAAAUAUGCGUGUCGUUUACAGCAGAGCUCGGAAAUGCAUCAUGCGGAAGCUGGUGGAAUUGAAAAGCGCAAUAGAUUCGUUCACAGUUAUAUUGGAAAACUUGAGUGCUCUUUUCUUAGUAAAUGGUAGGACACGUAGGAGGAAUAGCAAUAAAAACAUAAUGACCCGAACAGCGUCAUCAAACAACUUGACCUAAUUGCCAUUUAUAGAACUGUAUUCCCAACAGCACAUCUGCCCAGCAGCCCAAGGAAUGUUUACCAUAGGCUACUGUAUUUGGGGCCACGAAACAAGCCUUAACAAGUUUCAAAUGAUAGACACAUCACGAAGUAUGUUCAUGAGCUGUAAUGGAAUGAAGUCAUUAGGUCUGAAUAUCCUAAAUGUCAAAGAGGAAGGUUUAAAAAAAUGUUGAACUCAAUGAAAAGGAAAGACUGCCUGUCCCAUCUGUGCGACAAAGCCAAAGCCGUGCUGAGGGGCAAGUUAUAUUGUUAAAUGAUUGAUGCUCAUGGCAGCACUGGAUCCCGGACCCACUGAGCGAGGCCAGGGAUCGAACUUGCAUCCUCAAGGAUACUAGUCAGAUUCGUUUCCACUGUGCCGCAAUGGGAACUCCUAAAAUUGUUCUCUCACCAGCUCAAGGAAAUGUUGUAUAUUUCUUCCUUGAUGUUUUUUUUUCCUCUUCCUUAAUGAUGUCUCCUUCCAGAACUUCUCUUAGACUAAUAUGGGAUAUUCUGGCCUUCUCUGCUAUAUCUUGUGUCUCAUUUUAUUUUAUUUAUAUUAUUAUUAUUAUUUUUUGUCUUUUUGCCUUUUCUAGGGCCUCUCCCGCGGCAUACAGAGGUUCCCAGGCUAGGGAUCGAAUCGGAGCUGUAGCCGCCGGCCUACGCCAGGGCCACAGCAACAUGGGAUCUGAGCCGCGUCUGUGACCUACACCACAGCUCACGGCAACGCUGGAUCCUUAACCCACGGAGGAAGGCCAGGGAUCAAACCCGAAACCUCAUGGUUCCUAGUCAGAUUCAUUAACCACUGCGCCAUGAUGGGAACUCCCUUAUUUGACUUUAAAUCUCUCUUCUUCUUCUUCUUUUUCCUUUUCUUCUUCUUUGUCCUUUCUGUUUUUUGCGGCAUACCAGAGUGAGCUGGGGCCAGCCCCUGUUCAGACUUUGUCUUCUUGCCGUCUCAGGGGCAAACCUCCCACUCUGCAGAGACACUGUGGGAAAAAACUGCCCGACUUUGUGGAGAGAACCAGCCUGGUUCCUGAGGUCCUUUGAUUCGCCUCUGAGCGGGUGCCCUGACCCUCAUCCAGUCGUCGAUCCUCCGAGCUCGGGCUUUCCCAGGACCCUUUUCUGGAAGCCCGUGCACUUGCUCCUUAGGGGCUUGGGCAAAAUCACGCGUGAGCUUAUCAGCCCUAGUCGGCUCUCCCUCAGUGACAUUUCAGCUACGUCAUAUUGUCCCCAUAGUCUUCAAAGCAUCAGCUUUAUUCAUGGCAUCUCUUGGGCUCCCAGCACUGCCGCGAAUGCUUUGGUCGUGUAAAUGUGGGGUUUGGUUUGGUUUUUGUUUUGGUUCUUGGAGGAGAGGGAAGGAGUCAGUGUCUGAGCCCCGGUUUGCCGCCCCCUAAACCCAAGGCCCCAGAGCCGAAGCAGGAGAGGUGAAUGAACCAUCCCAUGCGUGGCUGGACCCGGUGGCCUUUUAGCCACAACUGAGCUCUGGGGGGCUUGUCUCUGAAGUCUGAAGAAUAAAGCAGCAUAAUUAAAGGUUUGAGAAACGACUUUUACACAAAAGUCCAGAGAGAGAGAGGGUUUAAUUUAGCCAGAAGAAAAGAGUGAGGUGAGGCUGGACUGGUGAGUCCCACUGAACCUGCUAGAGAUGCCGCGGGAGGCGCGAAGCUUAAAUCCCAGCCUGGAUGAUUCAGGUUGGUGGCUACAAAGACCGGUCUGCUCUUCCGUGGCCGCGUGGUCUCACCAGGCCCUGCCUGGGUGGCCAGGUCAGGAAGUCGGCCUUUGCUGGUGAGUCUUCUGGGACGGGUAAGGGCAGCGGAUGGACCGGUGAUCCUCGGGUCCCCCUGCCAGCCUUGGGCUGCUCUGACUGUGACGCCUUGGUGCGUGUGGUUGCUGUUAGACGGGGAGGAAGAGCUGCUGCAGAGAAAGUCCUGCGGGUCAACAGCCCUGUUUUCAGCCGGUUUUCUUUUUUUAAGUGUGCGGACAGGGUGUUUUGUCAGGAGCACUUGCUCCAAAUCUUGGAAACCUGAAUGGAGACGCCUUCCUCUGACCUGCUGGAAGAACCGGGAUUUCAGUGCUUCCCUCUCUCCCUGCUGCUGGAGGCAGCUCAGCUCCCUGUGUGGCUGGAGCCUGGCUCCUUGGCCUCUGGCUGUCCCCUCCCCCAGGGCAGGGUGGAGAGUCCAGCGGGGACGAGAGGGCCUGGGGCAGUGCAGGGAGAGGAGCCACAGGCUCCCUGUGGUGGCUCUGUGCCUUGUCAGAGUUGCCUGGGCUUGGGUCUGUGGUGGCCGCGGGAGAGCCAGUUCCAAGCUGUGUGGCUGGUGACAUUUCCGGCACUGGGAGGGUGACAGUGCAUUGGUUUCAGUGCUUUGCCCCGGAAAGGUGGGCUCUGAGGCCAGGGCUGGAGGGACCUGCCAGGGUGUGGCUGUAGGCACAGCAGGGUUGCUGUUCAGGUCCUGUGCUGCUGCUGCCUCUGCUGGGCUGGAGUCAGGGGCCCAGCAGCCAGCGCCAUUCUGAGGCUCUGGGGCUGCUGGGUGAAAAAGCGACUGUCAGAGGCAUUUGCCUUCCUUGCAGACCCAAGUAGGGUGAGGAGUUUUGGUUUCCUCUCCGUGCUCCCUCUUUCAAAAGCCAAAACCAAACUGGAAUCAUAAACACCAGGUGGGUAGCCGAAGUACCCGGUGAAUAAUUUUGAAAGAAAAUGGGCUGCGGGGGGUGGGUGAUCUUCAGCCCACACCUCUCACUUUUCUGCCUCCAUGCUUAGCCUAAGCCUGAAAAAGAAAAUAUACAAACAAAAACUCCACAACCAAACAAAACCAUUUCAGUAGCAACACCCUGGCGAAGGGCCUGGAUCUUCGAGAAUGUUAAGGUUCAGGUGGUAGUUUUGAUUCCAGAUUCUGGUU
rnacentral:lncRNA from 1 species